AACAUGCUAUGAAAACUUACGUAAUGCAAAUUUUUUUACCUAGCAGCCUUAGAUUUUUAAUAUUCAGUAGACAAAUGUCAAUUUUUUCUAGAGAUAUAUCAGCUUCCUACAAUUACUAAGACUUUAGAGAUACUAUAUAUUUGAAGCCUUUUACAUCAUCCUUAUUACCACAGAAUUAAACAUGAUUAGUCAUUAUAUGAAUAUCAAUGUAUCACUCCAUUAUUAUGCUUUAAACACUUGCAAACCUAAGGAUGUAUUUCAUAAAGUAAUUCAUAACUGAAUUUUAUUCCAGCUUUACCAUAAUUGGCUAUUUACCAGAUUAAACCAAAAUGAAAGCAAAAGCCUUCAGAAUUCAAAUAUUCUUAAUUAAAUUUUGGUUUUAAAAUAAAAGAAGUAUAGACUGUCAUCAUUUAUUUAUUCUUUUAUAUUGAAACCUUAUUGACCAAGAAAGGUAACAGAGAAGGAGGCUUGUUUUCUCUUUCAAUUUAUUUAUAAUUUCAAGUUACAAAAAUUUAACUUGAGCCCCUAUUUCCUGUAAGUGAUGAUGACCAAGGACUACAAAUAACGCUGCACACCUAGUCCUUACACUGACUAAAUGUAACUGCUCUAGCCAAAUCAGGGCAGUCACUGUGCAACCAGGGGAGUGCAACUAACUUGAACAUUGCAUUAAAGGCAGACUUACUUUGGAUCAAUCUUCUAUUGACUCUGCAAAAGAAUUUCCAAGAUAUGUAAAAUUUCGCUUUCCGAGUAUCCAGUAUGUGUCAUUGGUAAAUGGAAAAUAAUACUUUGAUUUUAGCAAAUUUUGUUUAUUUGGGUUUUU
rnacentral:lncRNA from 1 species